GGUGGCAACAUUGAUCAUUGUAGGAGGAGCAGACACAAAAGGUCUUGUUCUUGUGUUGAAAGAAUUAGCAUUGAUGGAAUCAGAUGCCAAUAGCAUAUGAUAGCUACUGUUUGAAACAUCUGAGUUAUGUUUUUGCUUUGUUAUUGCAUGAAUAAUAUAUGGAAUUAAACCUUCCAUUGUUUUUCUCUCUUCUUUGAUCUCUCACAAUCACAAACUUUUACUUACCAUGAAUUAAUAUUGUGAACCUUCAAUUUU
rnacentral:lncRNA from 1 species